UACGUAGGGUGCAAGCGUUGUUCGGAAUUAUUGGGCGUAAAGGGCUCGUAGGCGGUUUGUCGCGUCGGGAGUGAAAACUCAGGGCUUAACCCUGAGCCUGCUUCCGAUACGGGCAGACUAGAGGUAUGCAGGGGAGAACGGAAUUCCUGGUGUAGCGGUGAAAUGCGCAGAUAUCAGGAGGAACACCGGUGGCGAAGGCGGUUCUCUGGGCCUUACCUGACGCUGAGGAGCGAAAGCGUGGGGAGCGAACAGG
rnacentral:rRNA from 1 species